rnacentral:tRNA from 1 species
AGGGGCAUAGUACAACGGUUAGUACAGCGGUCUCCAAAACCGCGGAUCGGGGUUCAAUUCCUCGUGCCCCUG